AUGUGGUAUCUUCGUAGAGGUGUUGUUCUAACCAAAGGCAACCUUCCACGACGCAACUGGCCAGGAUGUAAGAAGUGUUGUUUUUGUACUCAUAACGAGACAAUCAAAUACCUCUUUUUUCAAUGCAAUUUUGCGCGUUCUACGUGGUCAGUCAUCGAAAUAGCGUCAAAUUUGUAUCCGCCCAUAAGUGUUGCCAAUAUUUUUGGUCAUUGGUUGGACGGUAUUUCAAAUAGGUUCAAAACGCUAAUAAGGGUGGGAGCGUACGCCUUACUAUGGUCGCUUUGGCUAUGUAGAAACGAUUUAGUUUUUAAUGAUAAAAAUGCUUCUCCUCUGCAGGUUAUUUCCCGUUGUACGCACUCACUUCGUAUGUGGUCUAUACUAUAA
rnacentral:rRNA from 1 species